rnacentral:tRNA from 1 species
UGCAUCGGCCGGGAAUCAAACCCGCAGGAGAGCAUUCUACCACUGAACCACCGAUGG